CUACGGAGGGUGCGAGCGUUACUCGGAGUCACUGGGCGUAAAGCGUCCGUAGGCGGUCGGGUAAGUCGGGUGUGAAAGCCCCGGGCUCAACCUGGGAAGUGCACCCGAUACUGCUCGACUCGAGUGCGGGAGAGGAUGGCGGAAUUCCCGGUGUAGCGGUGAAAUGCGUAGAGAUCGGGAGGAACACCAGUGGCGAAGGCGGCCAUCUGGCCCGCAACUGACGCUGAGGGACGAAAGCGUGGGGAGCGAACAGGAUUAGAUACCCUAGUAGUCC
rnacentral:rRNA from 1 species